GAUGAACGCUGGCGGCGUGCUUAACACAUGCAAGUCGAACGAAGCACUUUAAUCGAUUUCUUCGGAUUGAAAUUUUAGUGACUGAGUGGCGGACGGGUGAGUAACGCGUGGGUAACCUGCCUCACACAGGGGGAUAACAGUUGGAAACGGCUGCUAAUACCGCAUAAGCGCACAGUACCGCAUGGUACGGUGUGAAAAACUCCGGUGGUGUGAGAUGGACCCGCGUCUGAUUAGCUAGUUGGCAGGGCAGCGGCCUACCAAGGCGACGAUCAGUAGCCGACCUGAGAGGGUGACCGGCCACAUUGGGACUGAGACACGGCCCAAACUCCUACGGGAGGCAGCAGUGGGGAAUAUUGCACAAUGGGGGAAACCCUGAUGCAGCGACGCCGCGUGAGCGAAGAAGUAUUUCGGUAUGUAAAGCUCUAUCAGCAGGGAAGAAGAAAUGACGGUACCUGACUAAGAAGCACCGGCUAAAUACGUGCCAGCCGCCGCGGUAA
rnacentral:rRNA from 1 species